rnacentral:rRNA from 1 species
GGAGUAAUCUGGAGCGAACCCCAAAAAUAACGUCUCAGUUCGGACUGUGGUCUGCAACCCGACCACACGAAGCUGGAAUCGCUAGUAAUCGUGAAUCAGAAUGUCACGGUGAAUACGUUCCCGGGUCUUGUACACACCGCCCGUCACACCAUGGGAGUCAGCAACGCCCGAAGUCAGUGACCUAACCGAGAGGGAGGAGCUGCCGAAGGCGGGGCCGGUAACUGGAGUGAAGUCGUAACAAGGUAUC